rnacentral:rRNA from 3 species
GCUUAGCCCUAAACAUCGAUUAUUAGAUCCGCCCGGGAAUUACGAGCAUAAGUUUAAAACCCAAAGGACUUGGCGGUGCUUAACAUCCACCUAGAGGAGCCUGUUCUAGAACCGAUAACCCCCGUUCAACCUCACCCUCCCUUGCCCGCCUAUAUACCACCGUCGUCAGCUUACCCUGUGAAGGUUUUAUAGUAAGCAAAGUUGGCACAGCCUAAAACGUCAGGUCGAGGUGUAGUGCAUGAGAGGGGAAGAAAUGGGCUACAUUCGCUCGAGCAUUGAAAGAAGGAGGAUUUAGCAGUAAGCAGAAAGCAGAGCGUCCCGCUGAAACUGGCCCUAAAGCGCGC